GACGAACCGUACGAACGUUAUUCGGAAUUACUGGGCUUAAAGGGUGCGUAGGCGGCGCGGAAAGUAGGGUGUGAAAUCCCUCGGCUCAACCGAGGAACUGCGCUCUAAACUACCGUGCUCGAGGGAGGUAGAGGUGAGCGGAACUGAGGGUGGAGCGGUGAAAUGCGUUGAUAUCCUCAGGAACACCGGUGGCGAAAGCGGCUCACUGGACCUCUUCUGACGCUGAGGCACGAAAGCGUGGGGAGCAAACAGG
rnacentral:rRNA from 1 species